rnacentral:rRNA from 1 species
UACGAAGGGGGCUAGCGUUGCUCGGAAUGACUGGGCGUAAAGGGCGCGUAGGCGGUUCAUACAGUCAGAUGUGAAAUUCCCGGGCUUAACCUGGGGCUGCAUUUGAUACGUGUGGGCUUGAGUGAGGAAGAGGGUUGUGGAAUUCCAGUGUAGAGGUGAAAUUCGUAGAUAUUGGGAAGAACACCGGUGGCGAAGGCGGCAACCUGGUCCUUACUGAC